UGCCCAAUGAUUAAUUUUUAAUGGCCGCAGUAUCUUAACUGUGCAAAGGUAGCAUAAUCAUUAGUUUAUUAAUUGUGGACUUGUAUGAAUGGUUGGACGAGAUAUUUACUGUCUCACAUUUUUUUAUAUAAUUUGAAUUUUUAGUUAAAAUGCUUAAAUUUGAUUGUUGGACGAGAAGACCCUAUAGAUCUUUAUUAUUAUUUUUUUUUUAUUUUUAUUUAGUUUAUUUUAGUGUAAAAUUGUUUGGUUGUUUUGUUGGGGUGACAUGGGGAAAUUUUUAACUCUUUAUUUUUUUAAUCACUGAUUAGUGUUUAUUUGACCUUUUAUUAAUGUUAUAAGAUAUAGAUACCUUAGGGAUAACAGCGUAAUCUUUUUUGAGAGUCCUUAUCGACAAGGGGGGUUGCGACCUCGAUGUUGGAUUAAGAUUAUGGUUGGGUGUAGCCGCUCAAUUAAUAGGUCUGUUCGACCUUUAAAAUCUUACAUGAUCUGAGUUCAAAC
rnacentral:rRNA from 1 species